ACAUCGACUUCAUCAUCUAGCGACUCCCCCAAAAUCUCAAACACCCGUCUCUCUCUGUUCAUCAACCUAGAACACACCGACGAACUUUGUCGACCUGCUCCGGUGAAGGACGAUAACUUCCGGUGAAGGACGACCAUUAUCGGCUAACAUACCAUAAUCUCCGAGUGGGUAUGCAUGGAGUAAAUUUUAUCGACAAAUGCUAUUGAUGCAAUGGCUCGUGGAGUAUACUUUGGAGUUUUCAAUUUUUCCCCAGAAAAUUUUCAGCCUUUCUUCUGCCUUAUUUCUGGAUCAUAGACAUGAGGAACAUGCUGGACUACCUGCAAGACAGAUUACCAAGAAUCUAGGGGCUUCUUUGCAAUUAAUAUAACAUUGACGACGAGACAUAGUAAUAAUAAUCUAAAAUACAUUCAUUAGUAUGACUAGGGUUGUUCAAAAUCGAUCCAUAAUCCGGCAAGUGUGUGUAAGAAUCUGUUAAAACUUGGUAUACUUUUGAUUUUAAAAAAAGAAUCUGUUAAAACUCGGUAUGAUUUCAUCUUGAAAUAUCUAUCCCAGUUUGGUGUAAGGGUAUCCAUUGGUUCUAUUUGAUGACUGAUAUACCUUUUGGAAUGGUCCCAUUUACGAAGCACAGUUGGUUUUCCAGUGAUGCAAGGGCUAGUCUUUGCUUGACUAGCUAAACUGGCAUUCCUUCUAUGUUGUGGUGUCCAAUUAACUUGGCGUUGAAGCGUGAUUUGAAUUGGAAGUGAGAAAAUAUUUAGCUUCUUGUUUGACAUUCAGGCUUUGAAUACUAAUGUCAUUAGAAGUUAGAAAAGCUUAUUUAGAAUAAAGCUGCAAUUAGCAAACACUAGUGCACUACUAAAAUCUUUGUAAUAAAAAAGGGCAAACUACGGUCCAAUAGAUCCACAUCUAUUAUAUAAAUAUAAAAUGAAAGUCAGUGUAGGAAGUAAAUCCACCCCAAGUAUCUUAUAUGAUUAGAAAGGUAUUGAAGGCCCAAGAAUACUAUGAGGAAGCUGUUUUCACUCAAGACGAUGUACUGAAUAUGGACAGAUUUUCUAUCAAGAAGAUGUACCAAGAUGAUGUAUUCAUGUGUUGUUAGCCUCUUUACUCUCCAAAUGGGUUGCUUGUAUUUUAGCUUCUUGUUGCUCUUACAUAAGGAACUGUGACAGUAAAAUAGAGUUCAACUUUGUUAGGUGCAGCGAUUGCAGAUGAAAGCAGUGAUGAAGAUCUUUCUUGAGUGUUGUUGAUCGUUGCUAGACUUUCUCAUUAUGUUCCGGGAUAUUCUAGUUUAGAACGUUUUGUAUGCAAACUCAUCUAUUUCAUAUUUUGUUUUUAUAUAUGGAUAAUGCUAGUUUGAUAUUUCAAUGUUAUUUUGUAGUUUAUAUAAGUUAUGGUGUAUAAAAUUUUGUUGCA